ACGCUCGACACCUACGGGAGGCNGCAGUAGGGAAUCUUCCACAAUGGACGCAAGUCUGAUGGGGCAACGCCGCGUGAGUGAAGAAGGUUUUCGGAUCGUAAAGCUCUGUUGUUGGUGAAGAAGGAUAGAGGUAGUAACUGGCCUUUAUUUGACGGUAAUCAACCAGAAAGUCACGGCUAACUACGUGCCAACAGCCGCGGUAAUCUGAGCGGGCUGGCAAGGC
rnacentral:rRNA from 1 species